rnacentral:lncRNA from 1 species
GGCCGUCAGCGUCGAGACGCAGACAGAGUUUCACUCUUGUUGCCCAGGCUGGAGUGUAAUGGCCUGAUUUCAGCUCACUGCAACCUCUACCUCCUGGGUUCAAGCAAUUCUUCUGCCUCAGCCUCCCAAGUAGCUGGGAUUGCAGGCCCUCCUGGUGGGAUCCCAUCGCAUCCCCUGCCUCCACUGUCAUCUGCUCCACGUGGUAUCUCCAGGGGGACCUCUCUGCUGGGCUCCAGGCCGCAUAGCUGUGGGUGGCCAGCACGAUGUCCCACCAGGACCCCUGCAGUCCCAGUGCCCCCGCCUGGUCAUCCGGGGACCUGUCCUCACUGCCUGCUGCCUGCACUGUGUGGAAGGACAGAGGCUAAACGAGGAAGCCUGGAACUCUGGUCUCAUGGACAUGGCAGCCUGCCCACCACCCACGCCUGCCCAGCCUUUCUUCACGCAGCGCUUAAAACGUGGAGAGCGGAAUCUUCUGGGCCCAGGUAACACACCUUUGCUCCGACAUUCCCUUCACUACUCACUGGCGAGCUCAGUUGGAAAUUCGCUCCCAGUAGGAGGUUCCGCAGCAGACACAUGGAGUUUGGAAAGGCAAGGCCAGCAUGCUCUACAGGAAAACUGGAUUGGUGAUAACCUUGUUGGUCAAUGGCCCUGCCUGGAGACUUCCCAAGGGCUGCCAUUUGGUUAGGCUCAUUGAGAGAUACACAAAAAUAGGAGUAAAAGGCUUCACAAUUUUAAGCAUCUUGAGGAAGAGUGCUGCGUAAGGGGCUGAAUGAUGCCCCCAACCCCCCAAAAUUAGUCCACUUGGAGCCCAUGAAUGGGACCUCAUUUGGGCAAAAGGGCCUUCGCAGAUGUAAUUAAGGACCUCAAGAUGAGAUCAUCCUGGACUAAUCAGGGAGGCCCGAGACCCCAUGACACAGACAGGGGCACAGGGAGAGUUGCACGUGACAGUGGAGGAAGGGAUUGGAGGGAUGCAUCUGUGCCCAAGGAACACCAAGGGUUGCCAGCAGCUCCCAGGAGGAGACGGGAUGGAGCGGACGCUCUCCAGAGCCUUUGGAAGGAACCAACUCUGAUACCGGAUUUCUGUCCUGCAGAACUAGGAGAAAAUGCAUUUCUGUUUGAAGUUACGAAGUUUGCGGUCAUUUGUGACAGCAGCCUCAGGAGAUGAACACAGGGUGGCUCCAUGCCAGGCCAGGAGGGCAGGAGGCCGGGGCUCUGUGUGCUCCAGGGCUCACUCAGGCUCACUCUGGGCAUUCAGUGCAGUGUUUGGGGCGCCUGGCGAUGCUGGGUGUGAGGAGACGUGGUCUGUGCCUUCUGGCCCAUCACAUAAUUUGCUUUGGGUGCUGAUACCAACCACAGGCAAUUUAAUUCUAGACUGGAAUGGAGCUGGGAAGGGUGCACCUUCCUGGCAAAAGCAGCUUCGUCCAAAGCCUGCGCCUCGGAGGCUGAGCGUGGCAGGCCGGGCUGUUUUCACACGGCCACUCUAGAAAGAGCGGAAAUGCAGACGCUUUCCUCCUUCACGAUUUUUGGUUGCUUUGACUUUUGGUGUGUCUGAGAGGCUAUAACUCAAAUAGCUGUUCUCCACCUUUGGUUAGAUCCUGGAGUCUCUGGUACGUUGUCGGUCAAUGAUGCUGCGUGGAGGCUUCCCAAAGGCCGCCGUUUCGGUGGCUCCUUGAGAGAUGUAGAAGAAAUAGGAGCAAAGGCUACACAGGAGAGAUACAAGCUUCUACCUUCAAAUUACUGUGGUUUUUAUUUGACCUGUUGGAAGUUCUGGGGUUUCUAUAAAGGAUAAAAACUCCCUUUGGCACAGUUUGGAUCAGAAAAGUCCUGACUCCGGCCCCUUCAGUUUAUGACCUGAGGAGCCUGAGGAGCCUGAGGGCCUGAGGGCAGCCAGUGGCCCGAACACACGGGCUCUUUAUCUGGGGAGGGACUUGAAGCCAGGUGUUCCGAUGCGAGGACUCUCUCCCACCACAUGCAGCACAGCACUGCUUGUGUUUGGUUUCGUAUUGCUUUGGGAUUAGUCCAACUAUCACCAUUGAUGUGAAUAAACAGACGUGUAUCUUU